rnacentral:lncRNA from 1 species
UCAGCUUUCACUUUAGUGGAAUCAAUUUUUUCUCUCUCUAUAUAUGUAAAUGGUUUUUUGUGGGUGUGGCUGUUAAAAGAAAGAAUUACGCCUGAGAAAGAGGAUAUGUACCAGCACUACUAGUCAAGAAAGGAAAAUGGUCCUUUUCUCAUGCCUUUGGAACUUUAGGUAUGUUUUCUGUUUGGUUUAAUUUGCUUAUUAAUAUAAAAUUUAUAAGUAAUAAGAUAUAUAUUUUUAAACUAUUUGUGAAAGCCAACAUUUUUUUAUAUUCAAUUCAAAAUUGAUGUAAUUUAUUAAUAAUUAUGUUUUUUUUGUAAUUAGUACUAUUCUUGAUAAUUAAAAAUAUUGAUUAUUGAUUAAAAUUAAAUAAUUAUAUUUUUAUAAUUACUACAAUUAUCUUAUACUUAAUUUGGCAUAGAAAAUGAUCUUAUAUUUUGACGUACAAAAUAUUUUAUUAUAUUGAAAGCGUGACUUGUGAUGGGGAGUUUUGGUUUUUGAAGAAACCCCUAAUUACUGUGCUAUUUUAACGGAAAACUACAUAACGUGAAAAUUCUAUAUAUAUAUAUAUAUAUAUAUAUAUAUACUCCGGUGUUAGUAUGAUGGCCCUCACAUAGAAACCCUUCUAUUUCUCUUCAUCAAUAUAUAAAUUACUGCUUUUUAAUUCUCGCGCGUGCUAUGAUAAUCAGAGAUUUGUUCUGAUCUAGUAGUAGUAGCUUGUAGUCUUUCCUUGUUUGUUGUAGUAUUUUCCUUGUUUCUUUCACACCGGUGCAAUCUGAUUUUAUUAAUUAAUUAAUUUAUUUAUUUUUGAAUACAAAUUUUAAAUUUAUUUUAAUUAUGUGAGUUAAUUUUGUUUCUUCGUCGAAGUAGUUAGCAUUUUGAAUGUAUUAAUUUCCCCUUUUUGUUGGUCCCUAAAGUUAUAGUAUAUGGAAUUAUGGAUUGUUUUUGCUUUAUUGGUUUGUCUAUUUUUCAUUUAUGUUUUUGUAGAUCAAAUGAAAGUUGUUCAUUCCAUGAAUUGUCAAGAAAAUAAUAUCUAUACCAAGGUUUGAAAUUUGAACCCUUUCUAUAAUGCGCAUAUUAUCAAUUAUCAUUUAGUUUGUCGUGCUUAUAAACAAUUUAUGUAUUUCGAUUUGGAUUAUACUUGUAAAUGGAAAUUAAUUUUCCCCACCUUAAUUAUAAAAACAAUGGUAGUCAUAUAAUUUUUUUUGAGAUAUUUGUUUUGUUUUUCCCUUCAUGUUUGACUAACUUCAGCAUUUGAAUAUUAUAGUAAUUUUCAAUUGCUAUAUUUCUGAUAUAUAUUCAUAUAUAUGGGGCUCCCACUAUUUUUGUGAGCAAUUUACCUAGCUACCACUAAAUGAGAUUCUCUGUAUAUAUACAUGGUACGUAAGAUUUCAAAAAUGAACGUCUUAAAUUAGUUUUUCCCUUUCUUUUUAUACUACAUAUAUUUUCCUUCACCCUUUCUUUUAGUUGAGAAAUCAUGGUUCUCACUCUGUAUGCCUUUCUCUUUAUAAUAAAUUUCUUCUUUGAAUAUAUAUAAUAUGUUUUAUAUUUUUGUGGUGACUUCAGAUUUGUUUAUUCCCUUUUCAAGGUUCAGUUGCUUCUCAAAUCCGUACACUGAUUAAGAAUGGGAAUGCAUUUGGAAUAUCCAGAUAUUCACUAGGUUCGGGUAAUAAUUCUUUAGACAUUUGCAUUUUUGUUCAUUCAGUUUCUUAACGGAUUUAUGCUCAGUUAUUCUUUGUUAGGAACUUAAGUUUACUUAUAAUUUAUUUUAUCAGAUGAUGGAGUACUUCUUUUCUAUAGGACCCAUUUUACUAACUAGAAAACUGAACCCAAAUCCCCAAUAAAAAAUAAUAUUGGAAUUUGUUGAGC